UCUCAGGCCGUGCGAGGGGCCGCGGUGGUACGGGGGGUGCAAUGGGUACUCGGAAUUAGCGGGCGUAAAGCGUGAGUAGGCGGCUUUGUAAGUCGGAUGUGAAAUCCCCUAGCUUAACGUGGGAAUUGCAUUCGAUACUGGGAAGCUAGAGUAUGGGAGAGGAUGGUAGAAUUCCAGGUGUAGCGGUGAAAUGCGUAGAGAUCUGGAGGAAUACCGAUGGCGAAGGCAGCCAUCUGGCCUAAUACUGACGCUGAGGUACGAAAGCAUGGGGAGCAAACAGGAUUAGAUACCCCUGUAGUC
rnacentral:rRNA from 1 species